GUGCCUGUGGCGCAGUUGGCUAGCGUGCCAGAUUGUGGCUCUGGAGGCCAAGGGUUCGAGUCCCUUUAGGCACC
rnacentral:tRNA from 1 species